AUGAGUUGACUCUACUAGAAAAGGUGUAGCAUACCUAUGUCAGUGCAGUUUGUAGGAGUUGUUACCCAAAAUAUACCGAUGAUGAUUGUUUCAGAGUAUUCUAUGAAUAACUCCAACUCUAAACCACUCCCAUUGAUCCAGGCCUCAAGUUGAGGAAGGAUGAAGGAAAGCCUCUGGAUGAUGUGACCGAGUACUGAAGAAUGGUUGGCAGCCUACUGUAUCUAACAAUUACCCGCCCAGAUAUUACUUAUUCAGUAGGCGUAAUUUCUCAGUUCAUGAAGCGACCUUGUGUUGGUCAUAUGGCUGCUGCAAAACGUAUAUUGAGAUGCUCAACCACAGGCUACUGUUUUAAUAUUGGCUCAGCAGUUAUAUCUUGGUGUAGUAAGAAGCAAGCUACAGUGGCGUUAUCAAUCAC